UCUUAUAAUGGAUCUCUCAGUCACAUCAACGCCCGAGUCUAUGGUGAUGAUAAUGUUUGUGCAAAGUGGAUGCCAAGUGACUGCACAAUCAAGGUUUCUGAGUAGUUGAAAUAGAUAAGUCUUGAGUCAAUCAGUACAUCUGUACCACAUUCAUGUGGCAAAUGCUGCUUUAUGGAGAUGUUUCUAAUACUGACCUACAAUAAUUCAGCCAAGAUCACGUUUCUACUGUCUUCAGGAAAUGAGAAAAAUGAAUCCAGGAAAUUUCCAUCUUUAACUAUACUCUGUAAAUGUGCUGUCCAAUACACAGAUAGCUACUGAGCACUGGAAUAUAGCUAGUCUGAAUGGAGAUGUUCUAAGGACGUGUUUGCUUCCCCUUCUGCCGUGACUGUAAGUUUCCUGAGGCCUCCCCAGCCCUGCAGAACUACUCCCUGUGGUGGCGACCAGUAUCUUCAAACUCAUACCAGAGUAAAGCCUUAUCCAUUUGGAGUUCUUUCUGAUGCAUUAUGUGAGAAAAACAAGCAAACAAAUGAACACUUAUUUGUAUUUGAAUUGCACUAAAUUUAUACAUGAAACUGAAAAAAACUGAUAUCUUUAUGAAGCUGCAUAAUCCUAUCCAAGGACAGACGUCUCCUUCCAUUUGCUUUUGCUUUACUAAUUUGAAUCUAUGUUAUUUGAUUCAGGGGGUACAUGUGCAGUUUAUGUGAUUACACUGCAUGAUGCUGAGAAUGGGGUAUGGAUCCUGUCACGCAGAUAUUUUGGAUACAUCUGGAAUUGACUUUUUUGCAUGGUGUAAGAAAUAACAGUUCUUCCUGGAUCAGCCCUCUCCCGUCUGUCAUCUCCAACAGAUACAAAGCCAGCUUUAAGAAGACCAAACCUACAAAAAUCAUUCAUGCUUUCUGCCUCCAUGUUUUUCUUUCCAACCUAGUUCCUCCAGAAAAUGUAAAAGAGCAACCGAACCGUCAACUGGUACAAUGACUUCUACACAUCAGACCUCGGCCACGCCACAGUCAUCAGAUUAUUCUAUCACAGGGUCUCUCAACCGUGGAAUAUGGUCUCCAAGGGAAACAAGCCACAGAGGGCUCAGGAGCAUUGCUAUAAAGAGUAGGCAAAUGGAAAUCUUUCCCCAAAGGGCACACUGGGAUUGUUAGGCGAGGGCUGCUCAAUCCAUUAAAAGUUUAAACUCGAAAAAAAAAAAGAAAAAAAAA
ensembl:lncRNA novel transcript